CACUCGAGCUGAUUUGCUGAAAUCAAAACAGGGACAAUAAUAUGCGAGCGCCAGCCAAUGAGAUUGUUGUUUGCGCAUUAGCUCCGCCUACUACCAGAGAAAGCGGCAGUUCUUAAAAGCUGAAGAAUUCCAAAGGAACAACAUUAUUUUGAAAGGGAAA